rnacentral:ncRNA from 1 species
AUUCGCGUGACUGGCGAAAUCAAUGUGGGCUCAACCACAGGGAAACGCGAAAUCGACGACACAGCCGCUCGCCUGGGCUUC